rnacentral:rRNA from 1 species
CCGUUAGGGGGGGGACUCGGAAGGAUCAUUA